AUGUGUAGACCUUAUGGAAAGUUCUACCUAGGAGAUGUUGGCUAUGCAUGUCGGCCAGGUGUUCAUCCACCCUUUAGGAAAACCAGGUACCAUCUGAACGAGUUAUCUAGUAGAAACUAUCCCAGGACUCCUCAAGAACUGCUCAAUCUCAGACACUCCAGCCUUGGAGUAACGGUUGAGAGGGCAUUUGGAUCUCUGAAUAAUAGGUUUAAGAUCCUAGAUCAGAAGCCAUUCCACCCUUACUAUACCCAGGUUAAGUUUGUUCUUGCAUGUGCCAUCCUUCACAACUGGAUCCUACAAUGAGGUUGUGACGAACUUGUGCCGGAUGAGGGAGAUGUGGGGCCUGAUGAUGUGGUCGACUCCGGCCAUGGUGUGGAGGCGUUUAGCAAUGAAGUGUGGAAGAACAAAAGGUUAGAGUGGGCUCAUGAUAUUUGGGAUAACAGAGGUCAUACAAGAAUCUGA
rnacentral:rRNA from 1 species